rnacentral:rRNA from 1 species
AUUCCCUUAGUAGCUGCGAGCGAAUAGGGAAAAGCUCAGCACCGAAUCCCGCGGUCGACAACGGACGCUGGGAAAUGUGGUGUUAGGGAGGAUCCAUUUAUCUCGAAAUUUGGCGGUGCGUCCAAGUCCUUCUUGAAUGGGGCCACAGCCCAUAGAGGGUGCCAGGCCCGUAGUGACCAUUGCCAAUUGCGAGAGGAUCUCUCCUCAGAGUCGGGUUGCUUGAGAGUGCAGCCCUAAGUGGGUGGUAAACUCCAUCUAAAGCUAAAUAUAACCACGAGACCGAUAGCGAACAAGUACCGUGAGGGAAAGUUGAAAAGCACUUUGAAGAGAGAGUUCAAGAGUACGUGAAACCGUUCAGGGGUAAACCUGAGAAACCCGAAAGGUCGAAAGGGGAAAUUCAUUCGCGUCUCGUUAAUGGCAAUAGAUGUUUGUAUGACAAAUAAGGUACGCCAAAUUUGCUUCAUUCAUCUUGUUGAACUAAUAACGAAUGCGUGCACUUUUCCCCUAGUAGGACGUCGCGAUCCGUUGAGUGUCAGUCUAAGGUCUAUGGUGGCAGACUAUUUGAAUAGUUUUUACAAACUAGUUUUGAAUAGACCCAUAGUUAUAACCCGACUGACUCGCUCGACGGUAUAUAGAUGGKGCAGAGCCGCAAAUUUUUAAUUUGCGUUCGGCCCAUAGCAAGCACGUAUGGAUUUAAAUCASAAUUUUUCGGACUUUGUGCCGAUUCUGAUGCCAGACGACUGUUGGCUAUGUGUGUUCUUGAACAGACUCUGAAAAUUCAAAAUGAAACACCGAUCUGCGGCGCUAUAGCUUUGGGUACUUUCAGGACCCGUCUUGAAACACGGACCAAGGAGUCUAGCAUGUGCGCGAGUCAUUGGGAAUUUGUAUUAAACCUAAAGGCGUAAUGAAAGUAAAGAUUUACCUUGCGUGAAUCUAGGGAAGAUAGGUAGUUUGCCUAUAAAGUGGCUACCUCGCAUUCCCGGGGCGUCUCAUUCUCAUUAUGAGAAGAGGCGCACCAAGAGCGUACACGCUGGGACCCGAAAGAUGGUGAACUAUGCCUGGUCAGGACGAAGUCAGGGGAAACCCUGAUGGAGGUCCGUAGCGAUUCUGACGUGCAAAUCGAUCGUCGGAACUGGGUAUAGGGGCGAAAGACUAAUCGAACCAUCUAGUAGCUGGUUCCCUCCGAAGUUUCCCUCAGGAUAGCUGGCGCUCAUUGCGUACGAGUCUCAUCCGGUAAAGCGAAUGAUUAGAGGCAUUGGGGUCGAAACGACCUCAACCUAUUCUCAAACUUUAAAUGGGUGAGAUCUCCGGCUUGCUCAAAUUUUUGAAGCCGUGAGAAUUAUGGAUCAGAGUGCCAAGUGGGCCAUUUUUGGUAAGCAGAACUGGCGCUGUGGGAUGAACCAAACGCUGAGUUAAAGCGCCUAAAUCGACGCUUAUGGGAUACCAUGAAAGGCGUUGGUAACUUAAGACAGCAGGACGGUGGCCAUGGAAGUCGGAAUCCGCCAAGGAGUGUGUAACAACUCACCUGCCGAAGUUACUAGCCCUGAAAAUGGAUGGCGCUGAAGCGUCGUGCUUAUACUCAGCCGUCAGUGGCAUGUGCGGUCACAAAAUUUUUUUUUUGGGCCAUGAAGCCCUGACGAGUAGGAGGGUCGCGGCGGUGUGCGCAGAAGGGCUGGCCGUGAGGCCGUCUGGAGCCGCCGUCGGUGCAGAUCUUGGUGGUAGUAGCAAAUACUCCAGCGAGGCCCUGGAGGACUGACGU